UACGUAGGCAGCAAGCGUUGUUCGGAGUUACUGGGCGUAAAGAGUAUGUAGGCGGUUGCGUAAGUUCGGUGUGAAAUCUCCCGGCUUAACUGGGAGGUGCGCCGAAAACUGCGUGGCUUGAGUGCGGGAGAGGAGAGCGGAAUUCCUGGUGUAGCGGUGAAAUGCGUAGAUAUCAGGAGGAACACCGGCGGUGUAGACGGCUCUCUGGACCGUAACUGACGCUGAGAUACGAAAGCGUGGGUAGCAAACAGG
rnacentral:rRNA from 1 species